AAGACAACUUUGCACAGUUGACGAUUGACGGAGCGGAGCGACGUCAAAGCGUUUUACAACGUCGAGUUGGCUUAGGGAUACGUUCGUUGGGUAGGGGAGCGUUCUGUAAGCCUGCGAAGGUGGCCUGUGAGGGUUGCUGGAGGUAUCAGAAGUGCGAAUGCUGACAUAAGUAACGAUAAAGCGGGUGAAAAGCCCGCUCGCCGGAAGACCAAGGGUUCCUGUCCAACGUUAAUCGGGGCAGGGUGAGUCGACCCCUAAGGCGAGGCCGAAAGGCGUAGUCGAUGGGAAACGGGUUAAUAUUCCCGUACUUGGUGUUACUGCGAAGGGGGGACGGAGAAGGCUAUGUUGGCCGGGCGACGGUUGUCCCGGUUUAAGCGUGUAGGCUGGUUUUCCAGGCAAAUCCGGAAAAUCAAGGCUGAGGCGUGACGACGAGGCACUACGGUGCUGAAGCAACAAAUGCCCUGCUUCCAGGAAAAGCCUCUAAGCAUCAGGUAACAUCAAAUCGUACCCCAAACCGACACAGGUGGUCAGGUAGAGAAUACCAAGGCGCUUGAGAGAACUCGGGUGAAGGAACUAGGCAAAAUGGUGCCGUAACUUCGGGAGAAGGCACGCUGACAUGUAGGUGAAGUGAUUUACUCAUGAAGCUGAAGUCAGUCGAAGAUACCAGCUGGCUGCAACUGUUUAUUAAAAACACAGCACUGUGCAAACACGAAAGUGGACGUAUACGGUGUGACGCCUGCCCGGUGCCGGAAGGUUAAUUGAUGGGGUCAGCGCAAGCGAAGCUCCUGAUCGAAGCCCCGGUAAACGGCGGCCGUAACUAUAACGGUCCUAAGGUAGCGAAAUUCCUUGUCGGGUAAGUUCCGACCUGCACGAAUGGCGUAAUGAUGGCCAGGCUGUCUCCACCCGAGACUCAGUGAAAUUGAACUCGCUGUGAAGAUGCAGUGUACCCGCGGCAAGACGGAAAGACCCCGUGAACCUUUACUAUAGCUUGACACUGAACAUUGAGCCUUGAUGUGUAGGAUAGGUGGGAGGCUUUGAAGUGUGGACGCCAGUCUGCAUGGAGCCAACCUUGAAAUACCACCCUUUAAUGUUUGAUGUUCUAACGUGGACCCGUUACCCGGGUUGCGGACAGUGUCUGGUGGGUAGUUUGACUGGGGCGGUCUCCUCCUAAAGAGUAACGGAGGAGCACGAAGGUUGGCUAAUCCUGGUCGGACAUCAGGAGGUUAGUGCAAUGGCAUAAGCCAGCUUGACUGCGAGCGUGACGGCGCGAGCAGGUGCGAAAGCAGGUCAUAGUGAUCCGGUGGUUCUGAAUGGAAGGGCCAUCGCUCAACGGAUAAAAGGUACUCCGGGGAUAACAGGCUGAUACCGCCCAAGAGUUCAUAUCGACGGCGGUGUUUGGCACCUCGAUGUCGGCUCAUCACAUCCUGGGGCUGAAGUAGGUCCCAAGGGUAUGGCUGUUCGCCAUUUAAAGUGGUACGCGAGCUGGGUUUAGAACGUCGUGAGACAGUUCGGUCCCUAUCUGCCGUGGGCGCUGGAGAACUGAGGGGGGCUGCUCCUAGUACGAGAGGACCGGAGUGGACGCAUCACUGGUGUUCGGGUUGUCAUGCCAAUGGCACUGCCCGGUAGCUAAAUGCGGAAGAGAUAAGUGCUGAAAGCAUCUAAGCACGAAACUUGCCCCGAG
rnacentral:rRNA from 1 species